GAUGAACGCUGGCGGCGUGCCUAAUACAUGCAAGUCGAGCGAACAGACGAGGAGCUUGCUCCUCUGACGUUAGCGGCGGACGGGUGAGUAACACGUGGAUAACCUACCUAUAAGACUGGGAUAACUUCGGGAAACCGGAGCUAAUACCGGAUAAUAUAUUGAACCGCAUGGUUCAAUAGUGAAAGACGGUUUUGCUGUCACUUAUAGAUGGAUCCGCGCCGCAUUAGCUAGUUGGUAAGGUAACGGCUUACCAAGGCAACGAUGCGUAGCCGACCUGAGAGGGUGAUCGGCCACACUGGAACUGAGACACGUUCCAGACUCCUACGGGAGGCAGCAGUAGGGAAUCUUCCGCGAUGGGCGAAAGCCUGACGGAGCAACGCCGCGUGAGUGAUGAUGGUCUUCGGAUCGUAAAACUCUGUUAUUAGGGAAGAACAAAUGUGUAAGUAACUAUGCACGUCUUGACGGUACCUAAUCAGAAAGCCACGGCUAACUACGUG
rnacentral:rRNA from 1 species